rnacentral:rRNA from 1 species
GAUGAACGCUAGCGGCAGGCUUAACACAUGCAAGUCGAGGGGCAUCGCGGGGUAGCAAUACCCUGGCGGCGACCGGCGAAAGGGUGCGUAACGCGUGAGCGACAUGCCCGUCACAGGGGGAUAACCGGCGGAAACGCCGCCUAAUACCCCAUAUGAGGCCAGGCCACAUGGCUGGGUCUUGAAAGUCAAGGCGGUGACGGAUUGGCUCGCGUCCGAUUAGCCAGUUGGCGGGGCAACGGCCCACCAAGGCGACGAUCGGUAGGGGUUCUGAGAGGAAGGCCCCCCACAAUGGAACUGAGACACGGUCCAU